GCAAAACCCAGAAACUUCUAUAAAUUUUGGCAAAAUACAUCAAGCUGCCUUUUUCAGCAGCACGAAGAGGGGAGGAGCACAGGCCAACGCCACUCUCCUUUGUUUCUCCCUUGUGAUGUGCGUUACUGUGGAUUAAACUCACAUUUUAGGAUCCCAAACCAGGGACAAUUCAGCUACCUCUCACUGUAGAUGUGUGCCUUAGAACUGAAAGAAGCAGGAGGCUUGCUUUGUGUACUUAUCUCCUGAAACCUGUGGACACAGCAGUGUCUGUUUUCAAUGGCAGUGGAAAUUCCAGUAUCAGAAGCUUAACUACAAAUCCCAUACUACAUCGUUCGAAUGCUGCCUGUUUUCAGUCCAACCUAAUGAUGGCCCAGGAGUGAUAAAGCACAGGUUCUCUGUAGGUACAGAAGCAGAAUUC
ensembl:lncRNA